CGCAAGUCGAGUGCGCGUUUCGUAGCAAUACGAAAUGGCGCACGGCGCACGGGUGCGUAACACGUGGGUAACCUGCCCUUUGAUGGGGAAUAACCCCGGGAAACCGGGGCUAAUUCCGCAUAAGAUCCGCAAGGAUGAAAGCCGAGAGGCGUCGAAGGAGGGGCCCGCGCACGAUUAGCUAGUUGGUAGGGUAACGGCCUACCAAGGCUAUGAUCGUUAGCUGGUCUGAGAGGAUGGCCAGCCACACUGGAACUGAGACACGGUCCAGACUCCUACGGGAGGCAGCAGUGGGGAAUCUUGCACAAUGGGCGAAAGCCUGAUGCAGCGACGCCGCGUGGGGGAUGAAGCUUCUCGGAGUGUAAACCCCUUUCGACCGGGACGAAUGCCCGCAAGGGACUGACGGUACCGGUAUAAGAAGCCCCGGCUAACUACGUGCCAGCAGCCGCGGUAAGACGUAGGGGGCCAGCGUUGCUCGGAAUUACUGGGUGUAAAGGGUUCGUAGGCGGUGUGGCAAGUCGGGAGUGAAAUCUCUGGGCUCAACCCAGAGGCUGCUUCCGAAACUGCUGUGCUUGAGUGUGGGAGAGGCGCGUGGAAUUGCAGGUGUAGCGGUGAAAUGCGUAGAUAUCUGCAGGAACACCCGUGGCGAAAGCGGCGCGCUGGACCACUACUGACGCUGAGGAACGAAAGCUAGGGGAGCAAACAGGAUUAGAUACCCUGGUAGUCCUAGCCCUAAACGAUCAGGACUUGGGGUGCACCCGUUCGGGUGUCGUCCCGGAGCUAACGCGUUAAGUCCUGCACCUGGGGAGUACGGUCGCAAGACUGAAACUCAAAGGAUUGACGGGGGCCCGCACAAGCGGUGGAACAUGUGGUUCAUUCGACGCUACCGAGGAACCUUACCUGGGCUCGAAGCGCAUCUGACAAGCUG
rnacentral:rRNA from 1 species